AGAUCGAACUAUAGAGUUUGAUCCUGGCUCAGAUUGAACGCUGGCGGCAUGCCUUACACAUGCAAGUCGAACGGCAGCACGGGAGCAAUCCUGGUGGCGAGUGGCGAACGGGUGAGUAAUAUAUCGGAACGUGCCCAGUCGUGGGGGAUAACGUAGCGAAAGCUACGCUAAUACCGCAUACGAUCUAUGGAUGAAAGCGGGGGAUCGCAAGACCUCGCGCGAUUGGAGCGGCCGAUAUCAGAUUAGGUAGUUGGUGAGGUAAAGGCUCACCAAGCCGACGAUCUGUAGCUGGUCUGAGAGGACGACCAGCCACACUGGGACUGAGACACGGCCCAGACUCCUACGGGAGGCAGCAGUGGGGAAU
rnacentral:rRNA from 1 species